rnacentral:rRNA from 1 species
GAGUAACACGUGGAUAACCUACCUAUAAGACUGGGAUAACUUCGGGAAACCGGAGCUAAUACCGGAUAAUAUUUUGAACCGCAUGGUUCAAAAGUGAGAGACGGUCUUGCUGUCACUUAUAGAUGGAUCCGCGCUGCAUUAGCUAGUUGGUAAGGUAACGGCUUACCAAGGCAACGAUGCAUAGCCGACCUGAGAGGGUGAUCGGCCACACUGGAACUGAGACACGGUCCAG